ACUAACAACCGGUGUAUUAUAAGUUGCUUAACUAACAUGUCUAGCAUAUUAGUAAGCUAACAUAGUUGCUUUUGAAUAAUUUAGUGGCUUCAGAUUUAACUUGUCAAUCUGACCUUACUACACAUUUUUUUUUAAUUGGUUGCUUGCCUAAACAUGCAAGAUCUUUUAUGUGUGGUUUUACUUUGUUGCCUUUUGUUUUGGAUUCAAUCCAGUGAGGCAUUUUCCCCAAUUAACUUGCUCACAUCUGACCUGCAGUUUGCUUUGUAAGUAAGUUUUUUUGCUUCUAUUAGUUGCUUAUGAAUUCUUCAAAAUUUACCUUGCCAAUAGCAAUCCCAUUUGAUGCACAAAAUUUUGGUUAAUUAGGUGUCCUAAAGUGCACGUGUUUACCUCUCCAUGUGUUUAUGUCUCUUUUACACAACAAUCCCAUUUUUUGCUCCCUGCGUAUGUGUUUAUGUCUCAUGCGUUUUUGCAGCGGACAUCAUGAAUUCAUUUGAGGAUAACGCAGCGCCUGAAGAAGGUAAAUUUGGAGAUUUAAUUCCUCGUCGUCAGCGUAGUAGACGGAAAUCACUUGAGGUUCAAAUUCCGGUGCUUGAUAAUGUGGGACAUAUUGCUCCAGGGGUUGACAACGUGAAGCGUGUAUGGUAACCUGGUUUCUAGUUUCUUUUUGCCCUAUAGUCUCACUUAGAGUUGCCUACAAUAUAUCUUUUUCCAUGAUAAAUUGAUAACGAUGAGAUUAAUAAGCUUACAUAGUUAAUUUUCGUCCUGUAGUUGCCUUUUUUCUUUCCAAAACCAACUAAGCUAAGACAGUUGGUUUUUCCAAUAGCAUGUAUAGUUGCUUGAUAUAGGUGCACAGCAGUCGAUAUAGUUGCUUUUUAAUCUUUUUCCACUGAUAUAUGUGCCCACAAUAUAGUUGCUUUGUUUUUUUUUCCUUGUAUAGGUUGUUUUGUUUACUGAUAUAGUUGCUUUUCCAAUAGCUAUAUAGUUGCUUGAUAGGGUUCAUACUAGGCGAUAUAGUUGCUUUUUUAUAAAAGCCCAUAAUAUAGGCGGGUUUUUUUUUGUCCUAUAGGGUAUUGUUUGCUUUGUUUACUGAUAUAGUUGUUUUUUUCUAAUAGCAUGUAUAGUUGCUUGAUACCGGUGCAUAGUAGUCGAUAUGGUUGCUUUUAAAUCUCCCCUGAUACAUGUGCAUGCCCACAAUACGGUUGAUUUUUUUGCCCUAUAUACUUUGCUUUUGUUUACUGGUAUACUUGCUUUUCCAAUAGCUAUAUAGUUGCUUGAUAUAGGGUUUCAUAUUAGGCGACAUAGUUGCUUUUUAAUUUUUUUUCCCUGAUUCAUGUGCCCACAAUAUAGGUGUUUUUUUCCCUAUAGGAUAUAGUUUGCUUUGUUUACUGAUAUAGAUGCUUUUUUCUAAUAGCAUGUAUAGUUGCUUGAUAUAGGUGCAUAGUAGUCGAUAUAGUUGCUUUUUAAUCUUCCCUUAUACAUGUGCCCACAAUAUAGUUGCUUUUUUUUGCCCUAUAUACUUUGCUUUUGUUUACUGAUAUGCUUGCUUUUCCAAUAGCUAUAUAUUUGCUUGAUAGAGGGGUUCAUAUUAGGCCAUAUAGUUGCUUUUUAAAAUUCCCUUGAUACUGAGUCCAUAAUAUUUGCUUUUUUUGUCCUACAUAGUUUGCUUUUGUUGCUGUUAUAGUUGAUUUUCUAACAUAGGUCUUGAGAAGCUAUAUAAUUGAUUGAUAUAGGUUCAUGGUAGUUGAUAUAGCUGCCCAGAACCUGAUUGUUUACUGAUUUUCUAUACCUUUCUUUUCUUUUUGCAACAUCAAGGUUGGAAGAAAUAGAGCAUCACCUGCUAGGUUCUUCAAAAUCAACCAAAAAAAAUUCGCCAGAUCAGGUGACAAUGAUCAAGGUGAAGCAAUUUAGAGGGUUAUUGAAUGUCAAGGUUCAAUCAAUGUCCAAAGAAUUUUAGCAAGUGGCUAAUGAGGUGUUACAACCCAGAAACAUCAGAACUUGUUAUAUCAGGGAGGGGUAGCAUCCCAGUUGAUGCAGAAAGUGUACAGAGGGUUUUUGAUUUGCCAAACAAGUGGAGGAAAGUCACUUAUGAGAUGAACCAGAAAGCAACACUUACUUUCCUUGCCAGUAGGGAUUGGAAAACAUGCACAAUUCUGUGUGUUUGUCCCCUAGGAGCAACUCGUGUUAAACUGACAUACUCCACAUUUGUUCUUGUGUUGCCUGAUUAAUUUAUUGCCUAGCUAUAGCAUGCCCACUUAAUUUCCUGGCCUGAUUUGAAUUCUGGUGUGUUCCAUGGAUUGGAGAACAUGCAAAAUUAUGUGUACCCUAGGAGCAACUUCUGUAAAACUGACCUAAGUCAUUGUGUCCUUGUGUUGCAUUGCCUCAUUAAUUUUCUUGCCAAGCUACAGCAUUGACGCUGAAU
rnacentral:lncRNA from 1 species